rnacentral:rRNA from 1 species
ACGUAGGGUGCAAGCGUUAAUCGGAAUUACUGGGCGUAAAGCGUGCGCAGGCGGCCUUAAAAGUCAGAUGUGAAAUCCCCGAGCUCAACUUGGGAACUGCGUUUGAAACUCUAAGGCUAGAAUAUGUCAGAGGGGGGUAGAAUUCCACGUGUAGCAGUGAAAUGCGUAGAGAUGUGGAGGAAUACCAAUGGCGAAGGCAGCCCCCUGGGAUAAUAUUGACGCUCAUGCACGAAAGCGUGGGGAGCGAACAGG